rnacentral:lncRNA from 1 species
AAAGACCUUCGUGUCUAUCACGCUGAGUGUAAUAAAGUUCCUACUGGUUUAUGUACGUUUUUGAGCACUGUCUUUGAUGUAUUCACUGAUGAUGUCAACAUAUGUGUGAGAACGAAUCCUGGCACACAUAUGCGAUGCAUUCGGUUUUAUCCAGAAACCGGGUGUGACAACCGUGCACCAACAAUGGUGACAACGCCAAUAAGGACAGUGACCGGGGCAGACGCAGG